GCAUAUCAAAAAGCGGAGGAAAAGAAACUAACAAGGAUUCCCCUAGUAACGGCGAGUGAAGCGGGAAGAGCUCAAAUUUGAAAUCUGGUAGCCUUCGGUUGCCCGAGUUGUAAUCUAGAGAAGUGUUUUCCGCGUUGGCCCAUGUACAAGUCCCUUGGAACAGGGCGUCAUAGAGGGUGAGAAUCCCGUCCUUGACAUGGACCCCCAAUGCUUUGUGAUACACUUUCAACGAGUCGAGUUGUUUGGGAAUGCAGCUCAAAAUGGGUGGUGAAUUCCAUCUAAAGCUAAAUAUUGGCGAGAGACCGAUAGCGAACAAGUACCGUGAGGGAAAGAUGAAAAGCACUUUGGAAAGAGAGUUAAACAGUACGUGAAAUUGUUGAAAGGGAAACGAUUGAAGUCAGUCAUGCUCUUUGGAUUAAGCCGUUCUGCGGUGUAUUUCAUUGAGCGGGGUCAACAUCAGUUUUGAUCGCUGGAAAAGGGCAGGAGGAAGGUAGCACUCUCGGGUGAACUUAUAGCCUCUUGUCGUAUACAGUGAUUGGGACUGAGGAACGCAGCAUGCCUUUUGGCCGGGAUUCGUCCACGUACAUGCUAGGAUUUGAAC
rnacentral:rRNA from 1 species